rnacentral:lncRNA from 1 species
UUUAAAAUAAUUUUUUAGAAUUUAAUAAGUAUUUUUAAUAAUUAAAAUCUAAUUUUUCUAAUUUUUAAAUCAUUUUCGGAAAUUACAGAAAAUAAAAUAAAUAAAAUCCGUCGCUAAAGGCUAUAGCGACAGACAACCGUCGCUAUAGGUGUUCUUCAUCUCAAGAACACUGUCAGAGACAGUUCAAGGGGGGCUACUUUGACCAUGAAUAACUUUUUGGUCUUAAUGAAUCUGGGCAAUCUAUGAAUUGGGUCUUGUAGAGGAAAUACCAGACUACAAUUACCAACAAUAAUUACCUCAAAACAACAUCAUAUCUGAGAGAAAUCGUACCUCAAAGUAGCUGUCAGAGCUGUUCUUCGUGAAGAACAGUUCGUGAUGCCUACUUUGGACCUCUAUAACUUGACGAUCGUGCAACGUUUACGUGAUCUAUCAAUUCCAGUGUGUAGACAACAUGUAGGACUACAACUCUAACACUUAAAAUCAUCAUAACAACAAUAAAUCAAGCAUCUAAAGUAUGGUCAAACCUUAUCAAAAAAAACAACACUUAGAAAAUUCUGGGCUGCCCAGAAAUUGUCUGGUCAAUGCUGGUCAAUGGACUUUGACCUUCAAUAACGUUUAUUCCAAAAUAGAUAUCGACCUGAUUAGUUUUGGAGCUUAAAUUCCACAUAACAUACUACACAUAUCAACUUUUAGAACACAAAACAAAUUAAAGAUAACCGAGAUA